AUCGACGCAAAAGGUUUAUUGCACUUAAACAGCUUCAAACACUGCUCAGAAUCAUUACCACGUUUUUGCACACAUCUUUCUUAUGUACAAAUAUUCGUGAAUGAUACAUUUUAAGUUAAGUGGGAAAUAUACUUUGAUAUAUGCAAUCAUUGAACAUCUUACACAAAUGUUCACUUAUACAAGGGAUGACUCGUUUCAGUAGGGAUGUUGUCAUACCACAGAAAUCUUUCGAGCUUUCAUUUUGUAGGUUAUUCAUGAGAGUUAUUAUUUCAUCUUCAAUUACAGGAAAUGGAAGAAGAUAAUCUGAAAUGUUCGACUUACUGUGUUGAAGCAGUCCAAUUUGAGCCUGAUGGUUUUUGCUGCAUCUUGUUUGUUUUUAGCUCUUUUAUUCUUCCUGUUACGUUGUAGUUAUUGCGUUCCGUGAUUUUGGUUAUGACUACAAAUAAUGCAUUGAAUAUUUUUCUGAUUUUUUUAAAUUUAUUGAGUGUAUGACAUAGUUGGAACAGUUCCAGGAACGUUUUUUCAAAUUUAUUGCUUCAUUCAUUUUAAUCCUCCAUUGAAAGGUACAGGUAACUAAUAGGCUGCUCCAAUUGGGAGAUUAAAGUUUUAAUGACGACAUUAAAUUUUAAUGAACGUUCCUGCAAUUGGAUGUUAGUCCCUCAAUUCGAAUGUCACCCUCUCUCUAUACGGGAGGAUGGAUAUAAUCUAGUUUGUGGGCGAAUGAUAAAAUGAUAUGUUAAGGAAGUUUUCCAUAUACCAUAAGAAGAAAGAAGUUGAGCUUGUUGAAUUGGUUAGAGCUGAAAAAUAAAUAUUGUCAUUGGUACAAGACAAAAUGUCGAUUGAGUUUCUUUCUUGAAGAGAGUUAUCUAUAAAUGAAUAAUAAUUUUUUAAAUACAAGAAAGUAUUUCAUCUAUUUGAAAAUUUGCGUCGAAAUGACAAGAAAUGGGGAAAUCUGUGAACUUAUGGGUAUCACUUUGAUUUGUAGUAUUCACAAAAAUUUGCAAUUUUAGGAAUGAUCUGCCGUGCGGAAAUUUAAUACUGAAAUUCUUUGUGCAAUUUUUUUCGGUUCUUAGCUUCCAUAACGAUCGAAUGAAUUGGAAUGAACUGGCAUGAACCUUGAUAGGAGUGAGCAUAAACUAUAUUAUCGACAAAUGAAUAAUCAGCACCGGGAAUACAAAUUCGCUAUUCUAUCAUGCCAAUGAAUUUCUGGUAUCUCCACUGACUACAUCCAUAUUCUCUUUUUACAGUUGUGAAGAUUAAACAUGAACGCACGUCUAUAUUCCACAGUAAUAGUACUAGUGUUUUUAGUUCCGUUGGCAAACACUCAAUCUAUAAAAUGUGGUUCUUUCGAUAACAUCAAUAUGUUGGUAAAGGAAAAAAAUAAAGAUUUGAUGGAAAUAACCUCCUUCAGUGGCACGAUUGAUGGCAGUGCGUUCGAAAAUAAAACUUUUCUAGAAGUUUACAUUUUUACACAAGAUAUUGAAAGUAUCGGUGCAGGAUGUGUGACCAAUAUGUCGGAACUGAGGACAUUAGUUUUUUUGAGUUGCCCUGUGAAAACAAUUACGCCAGGGGCGCUGAAAAAUCUACCCGGCCUUCUGAAUCUACAUAUUGCCGAAGGAAAUCUCACUACAGUUCCUGCAGGAGUGUUUGAUGCAGCCCCUACGUUGAAGCGGAUCAGACUUCCUCGCAAUUUCAUUCACUCUAUCGAAGAUAGGGCAUUUGCCAAUUUACCAAAUCUGGAGGAACUUUCUAUUGAAAUGAAUAAGAUCAAAGUUUGGAAGAAUUCUUGGUUUUCAAACACCAGUAAUAUAGAGAUAUUACAUUUUCAGGGAAACCAAAUAGAAAAUAUUCCAAGUAAAGCGUUCCUGUACAUGAACAAUUUGAAGAAAAUAUAUUUCGAUAACAAUGAAAUAAGAACCAUCGAGCCAGAUUCAUUUUUGAGUGUUAAAAAUCUGGAAUACCUAGGACUGAGAUACAACAGGUUGAAAGAAUUGAACGAGAACGUCUUCCCCAGUAAUUUAUCCGUGAGAUCUCUACUCAUCGAUGCAAACUACUUGAACUAUUUGUCCAAUGAAGUGCUGAAGAAGUUAUCGGUCAAAGAAAUAACAUUAGAUGGUAAUCCAUGGAAAUGUCCCUGUCUCGAUAGAAUCCACUACUGGAUUUAUACGAAGAAUAUUACCUUGAGAACUUCCAGUUAUUGUAAUAAUCCUAACAUUCCUUUGUGCAUUUAUCCCGACUCUUAUUCCACUACUUGUUUGGAAAAUAAUGACGAAAAAAUUACGAACUUAUACAAGGAAUCCUUGAGAAAUUUGAUAUCUGAAGGGAAACAUCAUUGUGCCCGUCUAGAUUGAUCGAUUACAAGGUUUCAAGGUUGAGAUAAUCACUAUUCUGAAUUUUUCAUUUAUAUUGUUUGGAAAUAUUAAAAUAUCUAAAACACCGUGAAAUUAAUGUUAGCUGGUUACUGCAAAAUUUCCGGAAACCUGAGUCAUAAGUGAGUGUGAACGAGGCAAUUAUAAUUUUUGCUUUCAUAAAUUAUUUUAGUUCGUUUUCUCAAGAUAGUGAAGUGCCCUGAAGGGGAAAAAGACAAUAUACAUUUAUUCAAGACAUUUCGCAUGACUUUAUUCUACUACAGAUAUCAAUACAGGACCUCUUCCUUUCCAACCAAGCAACCUUUAAAGGUACUUACCGGGCAGUAUGGAUAUGGUUUUGAGUGCCCUGAGCACUCUGAAGGUUCUCAGUCCAGCUAGAUUUCCCCACUCCAUGCCGAUGGUGGCGUAACCACUGGUUAUGACUACAAAAUCUAGCCAAUUCCAUGGAUUUCGGAGAUACGUAUACUUGUUCAAUAUGAACCCUUUAGCAGUACCCUUGACUAACAUUUCAGCCGUGUAAAUGGCUAAAAAAAUAUACCUGGAACAAAAUUUAAUUUUCAAUUUCGAAAUCUUCGAACCAGUUAUUUUCAUUGAAUAAUUUUGCAGUUUGCAGAAUCAAAAAAAAGAAAAUUUGAUACAGAGUGUGAAUACAUGACAUUUCCAGAUUAUUAAAUGUGAAUUUUUCAUUAGUGCAUAUGUAUCAUGAUAAAUAACAAUACAAUUUCUAUAACUAGGGAAAUGCACCAUCGCUUCACUAUUUUGAAUAAUUAAAUACUUUAAAAUCUUG